rnacentral:rRNA from 1 species
UACGUAGGGGGCAAGCGUUAUCCGGAUUUACUGGGUGUAAAGGGAGCGUAGGUGGCAAAGUAAGUCAGAUGUGAAAGCCCGUGGCUUAACUGCGGGAUUGCAUCAGAAACUGCUUUGCUAGAGUGCAGGAGAGGUAAGUGGAAUUCCUAGUGUAGCGGUGAAAUGCGUAGAUAUUAGGAGGAACACCGGCGGCGAAGGCGGCUUGCUGGACGGCAACUGACGUUGAGGCUCGAAAGCGUGGGUAGCAAACAGGAUUAGAUACCCCGGUAGU